rnacentral:rRNA from 1 species
GAUGAACGCUGGCGGCGUGCCUAAUACAUGCAAGUAGAACGCUGAAGGAAGGAGCUUGCUCUUUCCGGAUGAGUUGCGAACGGGUGAGUAACGCGUAGGUAACCUGCCUGGUAGCGGGGGAUAACUAUUGGAAACGAUAGCUAAUACCGCAUAACAGUAGAUGUUGCAUGAUAUCUACUUAAAAGGUGCAAUUGCACCACUACCAGAUGGACCUGCGUUGUAUUAGCUAGUUGGUGAGGUAACGGCUCACCAAGGCGACGAUACAUAGCCGACCUGAGAGGGUGAUCGGCCACACUGGGACUGGGACACGGCCCAGACUCCUACGGGAGGCAGCAGUAGGGAAUCUUCGGCAAUGGACGGAAGUCUGACCGAGCAACGCCGCGUGAGUGAAGAAGGUUUUCGGAUCGUAAAGCUCUGUUGUAAGAGAAGAACGAGUGUGAGAGUGGAAAGUUCACACUGUGACGGUAUCUUACCAGAAAGGGACGGCUAACUACGU